GGACGAGCUCAGGUGGAGGAAGGAGCAGUACCUGGCACGUGACAGGGCUCAGGCCUAUGCUGGUGAGUGACUCGUGCUCUCUAGUUCCUGGCACCUGUGUA